GACGAACGCUGGCGGCGUGCCUAAUACAUGCAAGUAGAACGCACAGUUUAUACCGUAGCUUGCUACACCAUAGACUGUGAGUUGCGAACGGGUGAGUAACGCGUAGGUAACCUGCCUGGUAGCGGGGGAUAACUAUUGGAAACGAUAGCUAAUACCGCAUAAUAUUAAUUAUUGCAUGAUAAUUAAUUGAAAGGUGCAAUUGCACCACUACCAGAUGGACCUGCGUUGUAUUAGCUAGUAGGUGAGGUAACGGCUCACCUAGGCGACGAUACAUAGCCGACCUGAGAGGGUGAUCGGCCACACUGGGAAUGAGACACGGCCCAGACUCCUACGGGAGGCAGCAGGAGGGAAUCUUCGGCAAAGGACGAAAGUCUGACCGAGCAACGCCGCGGGAGUGAAGAAGGUUUUCGGAUCGUAAAGCUCUGUUGUAAGAGAAGAACGGGUGUGAGAGUGGAAAGUUCACACUGUGACGGUAUCUUACCAGAAAGGGACGGCUAACUACGUG
rnacentral:rRNA from 1 species